rnacentral:rRNA from 1 species
UCUCCUACGGGGGGCAGCAGCGGGGAAUAUUGCACAAUGGGGGGAACCCUGAUGCAGCGACGCCGCGUGAGCGAAGAAGUAUUUCGGUAUGUAAAGCUCUAUCAGCAGGGAAGAAAAUGACGGUACCUGACUAAGAAGCCCCGGCUAACUACGAGCCAGCAGCCGCGGUAAUACGUAGGGGGCAAGCGUUAUCCGGAUUUACUGGGUGUAAAGGGAGUGCAGGCGGCGCG